GUUCCUUGGAUUCUAUCUCAAGAAGAACAUGAGAGAGAAAGAGCCUUAAACACAUGGCUUGUGGUCCAAAGAUUUUAUUUGGAAACUCUUAAAGUCAAGAACCCUCAAAUUCUGGAAAAUGAAGGCAUUUUAUUGGGCAGGAUGGUGCCCAGAUGUUCAGAUCCUGUUACUUCUAUUAGACAACUGGCUAUUGACAAUAUUCAUGUAACUCUGCAGAUAGCCUUGAGACAUGAAGGU
rnacentral:sRNA from 1 species